CCUCCCGUCCCUCCCCGGUCCCCUCACCCCGGGCCCGCAGCGGGCUGCGGAGCCGCCGAAGUGGUUGGGUCCGCGCGGGUGGGCAGGAGCGGGCGUGGGGACGUCGCCGCGACACCCGCCCAGCUGAUGCUGCCUGCCUGUAACAGGAGCUGGGUAUCCGGGGCCUUAUCUCUGCACCGUCUCUGCUGCUGACAGGCUUGCCUCUGCCUUUCCCCUCCCUGUUUGGAUGCGGCCCUGAUUUCUGCCUCUAUCUCCACCAUCACCGCCAUCAUUUAUUUCAUCAUCCAGGGCAGACUGGGGAAAGUCUGUCUAGUCUACCUUACUUGGCUUCUAACAGGGCCCCUGGGCCUUAAGUUACAGUGGGCCUUUGGGCAAAGCAUGUAGGCACCCUCCUUGCCUUCAUUUUCCCAUCUGUGUAAUGGGAGCAAUAGGCCCUUCCCUACCUUGUCACAGGAGUUGGUAUGAUGGGAUGCAGCUCCUGCUUUUUUCAACCCUGCUGGAACAUUUAAUCAGGUCUUUUUGGAGAGACCUCUAAUCUGUCUCGGAGUCUCUCCAGGCUCCCUUCCUGCCUCUACUCUCAGCCUCCCUCACCCCUGGUCUCCAUCUUCCUCCCAUUCUAGAACUGGGCCUAUUCCCCUUCCCACACCUGCCCUUGGGACCCAGCCAUCACUGGGCCCCUUUCCACAGCUGCUGCAGUGUUCCUGUGGGUUUGCAAUCUCCAGAACUGGGCUGGACUCCCAGUUUAGUCACCCACUGGCCGUGUGACUUUGGCAAGGCCUUCACCUCUCUGAGCUGAGCUAUGGCUAGGGGCUAACAGUGGGGCUCUGCGCAUCCUAGACUGACUCGGAGGCACACAGGUCAUGGCACCAAAGCACACUGAAGACCAUGAAGCACUCCCAGCCAGCCACACAGGGCUCUUGGCUGUUCCUCUGCUGAACCAAGCAUUCCUCUAGCUCAGGUUAUCCAAUUUUUGGCAUUGGAAGACUGAAUUAUGAUAGGCUCCCAAUCUAUUCAGGUUGGAUGCACAUGGAUGAAGCACAUAACAUACACAGAAGCAGAGAGAGGAAAGGAAGGGAGGGUAUGAUGGGAAACUGUACAGUGAGACCUCUCAAGGUGCAUCUCCUGGUUGAGGACUUUGUGAUUUCAGAUACUGGGGGAUGGGAGUCAGGGAAUGGAAUAGUUUGACUGGGUCACCAGGAAGACAGAAGAGCAGGACUUUGCUGAACCAAGGCGUUCAGUGCAGUUGAAGACUUCAGGCUCUAGCUUGCUCGGUCACCCACUCCACAAUGUGCAGAGAGCCCUAUGGCAUGUAAAACACUGAGGCAGACCCCGUGUUGAUGCCAAGAUGCAGCCCUCACCCUCAAGAUGCUGGAGAGGAGAGAAGACAAGCCAGUGGUUAAUCUCAAGGUGGUCAGGCUGUGUGGUAAGAACCAUAACAGAGGAAAGUGAUGGAGAGCAAGGCCCAGGAAACCCUCAGGCUGGCAUUUUCACUGAUCUUUGAAAACCAGGCAGGAUUUUUUUUGAUAUCUAUUAAUACAGAUUACUUUGUCCAGUUAUACAAGUAAUUAAUACAUGUUUAUACUUUUAAAACUUUUAAGAAAAUGUAUAAAAGUAGAAAGAAGAAAGUAGUUACCCAGCUCCAAAACCCAGAGAAAACCAUGGUUAAAAUAUAGGUGUGUUUUCCCCUAUGUUAAGCAACCUAAGUGUCCAUCGAUGGAUGAGGAAUAAAGAAGAUGUGGUACAUAUACACAAUGGAAUAUUA